rnacentral:rRNA from 1 species
CCUACGGGUGACAGCAGUGGGGAAUAUUGGACAAUGGGCGCAACCCUGAUCCAGCAACGCCGCGUGAAGGAAGACGGUUUUCGGGUUGUAAACUUCUUUUUAUAGGGAAGAAUAGUGACGGUUGCUUCUUGACUAACCAACGCCAACUACGUGGCAACAGGCGCGGUAAUUCGGAGGUGGCAAGCGUUUUCCGGAAUUACUGGGUGUAAAGGGAGGGCAGGCGGGAAAUCCAGUCAGCUGUGAAAACUCCGGGCUUAAAUUGGAGACUGCAGUUGAAACUGGUUUUCUUGAGUAAAGUAGAGGUUGGCGGAAUUCCGAGUGUAGCGGUGAAAUGCGUAGAUAUUAGGAAGAACACCGGUGGCGAAGGCGGACGACUGGGCGUUAACUGACGCUGAGGCUCGAAAGCGUGGGGAGCAAACAGGAUUAGAUACCCCUGUAGUC